UGAAGAAAAUACCCGUCCAUUGUGAACACGCCUCUGUAAAGUUAACGGCAAUUUUUUUCUUUUAUUUUACAAUAAAAUCCAGUAAAAUCCAAUAAAGCCAAGUGCAAGACACGUAUACAUAAAAAAACAAGUGUAAUUUAUUACGUUCACAGCAGUAAAAUUUACCUAAAUUAAAUCAUACGUAUUUAACAGAAAUAUUCGUUAGAUUAUUGACACGUUAAUUUACCAUCAUCAUAAUUAAUUAACUCCCUGGCUGACAAUAUAAAAAAUAAAAAAAUAAAAAAAUAAUCUUUUAAGGUAACAAACAAAAAUAAAUUAUUAAAAAUUCAUUAAGUAAAUUGUUGUUGCUAGUAACAAUACAAUUGUUAAUUUGCAUGUACAGAAAAAAAAUUUUAUUGUUUGUUUAAUGUAGUUUAUAGUAGCAUUGAGUAGCAUUUAUUAUUCAUGUAGAUAAAGUUGCAUAUAUAAUCAUACUGAAAAAUAAUUACUAGCUAUCCAAAGGCGUCAGAAAAAUAAUCCAUCUUGCCAAUGUCGAAAAGAAUAGUUAUUUUUCCGUUUUUGUAAAAAUUUCUGUAAAUAAUUUGUCAGUAUGAUAACCCUAGUUAUUUAUUAAUGCUAAUUUAACGUCUUUUUCACAUUUCAUAUUUUUUUUUCUGGGAGAUAUCAAGUGAUUUAGUGGCAACCGUGUCUUUGUAAAAAUAAUUAAAAUUUCAAUUAUAUUUAUUCGCUUCUCGUCAACAGAAAUUAAUCAACAAGGCUGGGCUUAUUUAUCUACAGUUUGGUAAACUUGAUAUAGUACAGUAUAGAAAAAAAAAAAUAAACGUUAAAUUUCAUGACUACACUGGACUAUAUCAACUUGACUGUAGAUAAACAAAUCAUAGUCUUGAAUCUUGAUCAUAAUUUUAUUAUCAAUAAUUAAAUAAGUAACGUUAAAAUGUCAUUAAGAACAUAGAUGAAAAUUAUAUUUAUCAAUUAAACUCAUACAUUUAUUUAAAAAAAUAAAAAAUGUGGAAAAUUUGUGAAAUUCAUGUUGAUAAGUGGGUGCAGUUUAUUGUGAAAUUUAAUUAAUAUUAUUAAUAAUUUUUUCUUUUUUAAAUUAUAAUAUAUUCAAAAAUUAUUAAAAAUAUUAUUAACAAUUCAUCAAAUUGUACGUAAAAAUUACUGUCAUUAUUUAUUAUUUAUUAGAUAAAAAAAAAAGAAACAAUUUGCAUAUUUUUUUUUUUUGAGAAUUAAUAUUGUUUUUUUGAUGUUAGAUAAUUUAAAUUAACUCUAUAUAUUUUAUCGUGCGUGUAAAUUAAAUAAUUACAGUUAAAAUAAAAUUUAAAAUAAAAAUUACCGAUGCCAUACAUUCUGGUACGUGGUAACCUUGCAUCCUACAGUCAUAAGUAUCCUUGGCGAGUACUUGUUUCUGGUUUAAAAGCAUCGGAUAUUGAACAAUUAAAACGUUUUGCAUCUGGUGGUUACUGUGACGAUUCAACGAUUGUUUAUCUUCAACAUCCUUGUGUUAUAUUGACAGCACUUGAGGUACUUGGUUACAAAGUUGUUGCAUCAUCAAGUACAAGUGUUAAACAGGAUUACAAUGAAUACAUGUGGACAAUGAGAAAAGAUUUUUCUGAACCAGAACCAGAACCAAUUGUUAAAUCAGAUAAAAAAAUUAUUUAAGAAAAAUGGAACAAGAACAUAAUAGUUGUGAUGACAAUGGUGAUCAUGGAGCUUGCUGUAAAUCAACUGGAUCAAGUUUGAGACAAACAUUGGAUGAGAUGGAUUUUGAACGUGGCAUUUGGCAUGCAGCUCAAACAGAUGAUCUUGAACGUGUUAAGAAUCUACUAUCACAAGGAACUUCAGCAUCCGAGCAAAUGGAGCUCAGGUAAAUUCUGUAACACGAUAUGGUCGAGCAACAUCUCUUCAUCGAGCAGCAAUGCGUGGCAAUGAUGAAAUUGUUCGUUUACUCAUGGACUCUGGUGCAGAUC
rnacentral:misc_RNA from 1 species